AGCGAACGCUGGCGGCAGGCCUAACACAUGCAAGUCGAACGAACUCUUCGGAGUUAGUGGCGGACGGGUGAGUAACACGUGGGAACGUGCCUUUUGGUUCGGUAUAACUCAGGGAAACUUGUGCUAAUACCGAAUGUGCCCUUCGGGGGAAAGAUUUAUCGCCAUUAGAGCGGCCCGCGUCUGAUUAGCUAGUUGGUGAGGUAACGGCUCACCAAGGCGACGAUCAGUAGCUGGUCUGAGAGGAUGACCAGCCACACUGGGACUGAGACACGGCCCAGACUCCUACGGGAGGCAGCAGUGGGGAAUCUUGCGCAAUGGGCGAAAGCCUGACGCAGCCAUGCUGCGUGAAUGAUGAAGGUCUUAGGAUUGUAAAAUUCUUUCACCGGGGACGAUAAUGACGGUACCCGGAGAAGAAGCCCCGGCUAACUUCGUG
rnacentral:rRNA from 1 species